UAGCUAGUUGGUGAGGUAAAGGCUUACCAAGGCGACGAUCUGUAGCGGGUCUGAGAGGAUGAUCCGCCACACUGGAACUGAGACACGGUCCAGACUCCUACGGGAGGCAGCAGUGGGGAAUUUUGGACAAUGGGGGCAACCCUGAUCCAGCCAUGCCGCGUGAGUGAAGAAGGCCUUCGGGUUGUAAAGCUCUUUCGGCCGGGAAGAAAUCGCAUGGGCCAAUACCCUGUGUGGAUGACGGUACCGGAAUAAGAAGCACCGGCUAACUACGUGCCAGCAGCCGCGGUAAUACGUAGGGUGCGAGCGUUAAUCGGAAUUACUGGGCGUAAAGCGUGCGCAGGCGGUUUUGUAAGACAGGCGUGAAAUCCCCGGGCUUAACCUGGGAACUGCGUUUGUGACUGCAAGGCUAGAGUACGGCAGAGGGGGGUGGAAUUCCACGUGUAGCAGUGAAAUGCGUAGAGAUGUGGAGGAACACCAAUGGCGAAGGCAGCCCCCUGGGUCGAUACUGACGCUCAUGCACGAAAGCGUGGGUAGCAAACAGGAUUAGAUACCCUGGUAGUCCACGCCCUAAACUAUGUCAACUAGGUGUUGGGUGGGUAAAACCAUUUAGUACCGUAGCUAACGCGUGAAGUUGACCGCCUGGGGAGUACGGCCGCAAGGUUAAAACUCAAAGGAAUUGACGGGGACCCGCACAAGCGGUGGAUGAUGUUGAUUAAUUCGAUGCAACGCGAAAAACCUUACCUACCCUUGACAUGCCAGGAACUUGCCAGAGAUGGCUUGGUGCCCGAAAGGGAGCCUGGACACAGGUGCUGCAUGGCUGUCGUCAGCUCGUGUCGUGAGAUGUUGGGUUAAGUCCCGCAACGAGCGCAACCCUUGUCGUUAAUUGCCAUCAUUUAGUUGGGCACUUUAACGAGACUGCCGGUGACAAACCGGAGGAAGGUGGGGAUGACGUCAAGUCCUCAUGGCCCUUAUGGGUAGGGCUUCACACGUCAUACAAUGGUCGGUACAAAGGGUUGCCAAGCCGCGAGGCGGAGCCAAUCCCAGAAAGCCGAUCGUAGUCCGGAUUGCAGGCUGCAACUCGCCUGCAUGAAGUCGGAAUCGCUAGUAAUCGUGGAUCAGCAUGUCACGGUGAAUACGUUCCCGGGUCUUGUACACACCGCCCGUCACACCAUGGGAGCGGGUUCCGCCAGAAGUAGGUAGCCUAACCGCAAGGGGGGCGCUUACCACGGCGGGGUUCGUGACUGGGGUGAAGUCGUAACAAGGUAGCCGUAGGGGAACCUGCGGCUG
rnacentral:rRNA from 1 species